rnacentral:rRNA from 1 species
UACGUAGGGUGCGAGCGUUAAUCGGAAUUACUGGGCGUAAAGCGUGCGUAGGCGGUUCUCCAAGUCCGUUGUGAAAGCCCCGGGCUCAACCUGGGAAUGGCAGUGGAAACUAGGGGACUGGAAUCUGGCAGAGGGGGGUGGAAUGCCGCGUGUAGCAGUGAAAUGCGUAGAGAUGCGGCGGAACACCGAUGGCGAAGGCAGCCCCCUAGGGCUGAGAUUGACGCUCAGGCACGAAAGCGUGGGGAGCAAACAGGG